CGGGGAGCACCACAACAGGUGGAGCCUGCGGUUUAAUCGGACUCAACGCCGGGAAACUCACCAGAUAAGACAGCUGAAUGAUAGUCGGGCUGAAGACUCUACUUGACUAGCUGAGAGGAGGUGCAUGGCCGUCGUCAGUUCGUACUGUGAAGCAUCCUGUUAAGUCAGGCAACGAGCGAGACCCACGCCAACAGUUGCCAGCUCGUCCUCCGGGAUGGUGGGGACACUGUUGGGACCGCCUCUGCUAAAGAGGAGGAAGGAAUGGGCAACGGUAGGUCAGCAUGCCCCGAAUUAUCCGGGCUACACGCGGGCUACAAUGGUCAGGACAAUGGGUAUCGACACCGAGAGGUGGAGGCAAUCUCCUAAACCCAUCCGUAGUUCGGAUUGUGGGCUGCAACUCGCCCACAUGAAGCUGGAAUCUGUAGUAAUCGUGUCUCAAAAUGGCACGGUGAAUAUGUCCCUGCUCCUU
rnacentral:rRNA from 1 species